rfam:Guillardia theta CCMP2712 unplaced genomic scaffold GTITHscaffold_174, whole genome shotgun sequence.
GGGGCAGUAGCGCAGUGGUAGCGCGUCCGCUUUGCAUGCGGAAGGCCCCGGGUUCGAUCCCCGGCUGCUCCA